ensembl:lncRNA
GGGUUGGAGUUAGGGUUGAGGUUAGAGCUGAGGUAAGGCUUGAGGUUAGGGUUGGAGUUAGAGUGGAGGUUAGGGUUGAGGUAAGGGUUGGAGUUAGGGUUGAGGUUAGGGUUGGAGUAAGGGUUGAGGUUAGGGUUGGAGUAAGGGUUGAGGUUAGAGCUGGGGUAAGGGUUGAGGUUAGGGUUGGAGUAAGGGUUGAGGUUAGGGCUGGGGUAAGGGUUGAGGUUAGGGUUGGAGUAAGGGUUGAGGUUAGAGCUGGGGUAAGGGUUGAGGUUAGGGUUGGAGUUAGGGUUGAGGUAAGGGUUGAGGUUAGGGUUGGAGUUAGGG